CUUUCUUUAGGAGCUUGGUAACCGCGCCUGUUAUGAUGCAAUAUAGGAAGCCUGUACAGCAGGAAAUAGAUUGCGGUCGAAUACUUUGACGCAACUUAUAUAUUCUAUAUUUAUUUACAUAACUGCUGCGGUUUUGACGCAUUAUUCAUCGCGUCUUUCCGAAAGCUUUGUACCCAUAAAUAAAAUGUACUAAAAAGAGAACACAUUACGUACAAAUUUUUUAUAAAAUAGAUCAAAAUAUACCAUAAAUAUUGAGAUAUAUGCUAGUAUAAAGGUCAUAAGUUCGUGCGUAAUGGUAUUCGAAAUAGACAUAUUAUUAAUUCGCAGUUCAUUUAACUGAUAGAAACGUUCACAUUCAAAUUAUUCAAUUAGGUAUGAAUUUGGUUUAAAAGAUUCCCUGUUUGUAUUAUAUUGUGCACUACUAAUACUGUGUGAGUCACAGAUGAGAUAGUCUCGGUUGAAAACGUGAUGUUUAUACUAGCCGACAAAUAUGCAAACCACAAGUCUAAUAAUGCUUAUAGGCGUAUCAAAAUUCAAAGAUCAAAAUUUGCCUGCGCGCAAUGCAAAAUGUAAACAAGACACGUUUAUCGAUUUUGCAUUAUAAACUGUGGAAGCUGAGGACGAUACAGAAAUUCAGUUGUAGUAACUUCUAAUAUAUAGAUUUUACAUUCGUACUUCAGCAUUCAGUUUACUUCAGGCUAUACAGCCACACACGUUAGUGUUUAUUUCCGGAAAAUUUAAAUAUUUCCCGCUAAAGGUUAAUGAUAAUCAGAAUGGUAUAAUAGACUUUAUAUGAGUACCUGAAUAACCCCAAGUUUACAUUAAGUGUCCCAACAAAUCCAAAUAUGUACCCUGAGUAAAAGUCGCGGUUACCAAGCCUCCACGGAAAGUGAUCCCAAAAAAAAUUUAUGCAGCGCGCACACUUUGAGGAAAUGUCCAUUCGUGACAAAAAAUAUUCAACACGUUGGAUAUUUGUCUUACGCGUCACGAGUGACGAAAAACUUACAAAAGUGCACCGCACACGAGAGCUUUCUCCUUACGCCAACAGUCACGAAUGACAUUUUGCUAAGCACAUAGCUCUAGUGUGCGCCGGGCUUAAAGCCUGCAGCACACGAGAGCUAUCUGCUGAGCCAAAAGUUACUCGUGCCUGUUAGCUCAGCUGAUAGCUCACCGAUCAACAGUGAUGUAAGGGACGGACCAUUAGAAAAGUGAUGGGGAGGGUGGGGAAAAAAACAGAAAAAAAAUCCAUGCAAACAAAAAAGGUUUGAAAAAAAAUACAUGCAAACAGACUUGUUUAAAAAAAAAUUACAAACAGAACAACAAUAGAACUUUAAUUUUAAAUGUACAUCAGACAAAAUUGAACUAAAUCUUUGGAAUAUUUCAGAAUAUAAAUAUAUCAAAAUAUAUAAGAUAUUAAUAUGCAAUUUCUUUCAAUAUUAACAGUAACUCUUAUGUAGUUUUAUUAUAUACUAUCAAAAUAUUUUCUAUUGUAUUUAAUAAUUAAUUCUCAUUCACACUGCCACUGUCCUCAGUGGCGUAACUACUAUGGGCUCGGACUGGGAGAAUCCGGGGGCCACCAACCCCAAUGGGCCCGCAAAUGGGGGGCCCCAGGCUCAGGCUACAGAGCAAAAACAUUGGCCAAGGGCCUCUGAUAUGUUACAAUGGCGUUUUCUGACCAUCAGAAUUCUGUAAAAUCUCUCCCCAAAGUCCGGGAAAUGGUAUUUCAGAGAAUUUAGAUUCAAAAAUUUUCCGGGUGAGCAUGCUCUUGGACCCCUAGAAAACUUGUCCAUAUAUGGUGCUUAAAGAUAUAAUUUUGCAGUGUGUAUUAAAGGGAUAUUUUUUUGUCAAGAGAACAGUUUCGUUAACAUUUGUAUAGUUGUAUUGGAAAAAAAAUUGCAUGCGAGAAGACAUAUUUAAAAAAAACAUGCAUACACAGCUGACAACCUGGAAAAAAAUGCAAACAAAAAAAA
rnacentral:lncRNA from 1 species